rnacentral:lncRNA from 1 species
GCUUUUUCCAUGCAUGUCAGCAUUAGGGUUUUAAACCCUAAACUGAACUCUUUCCUUUAGUCAGCAUUAGGGUUUUAACCCUAAACUGAACUUUUUCCUUUAAUCAGCAUUAGGGUUUUAAACCCUAAACUGAACUUUUUCUUUAGUCAGCAUUAGGGUUUUAAAACCCUAAACUGAAUUUUCCUUUGGUCAGCACUAGGGUUUUAAACCCUAAACUGAAGUUUUUCCCAGUUGGUCAGUAUUAGAUUUUCAACUCUAAACUGAACCUUUCCCCAGCUAGACGAUAUCAGGGCUCCAACCCUGAACUGAGCAUGCAUAUCCUCCUUCAUCAAUUUUAUGAACUUCCUGGCGAAUAAUUCACGAAAUUUCCUAGUGAAACUGGGGCAGAAAAUUUCGUUCAUUUGUUUUUCUCGAAGGUCUAACCUCGAGCCACACGGAUCGAAACGACCCACAAGAUGAGUCUCAACUCAGAAUCUAAGAAGAAAAAGAAAAAAAAGAUGUCCCGAGACACCGGAGAAAAUAGAAGGCGGAUCGCUCCAAGAUUUGAUCAAGGUCCCGAGUUCUACCAACCCCGCCAUAUUCAGUAUCGCAGA